CUACAAUGGUGGUUAACAGAGGGAGGCAAUACCGCGAGGUGGAGCAAACCCCUAAAAGCCAUCCCAGUUCGGAUCGCAGGCUGCAACCCGCCUGCGUGAAGUUGGAAUCGCUAGUAAUCGCGGAUCAGCAUGCCGCGGUGAAUACGUUCCCGGGCCUUGUACACACCGCCCGUCACACCAUGAGAGUCGGGAACACCCGAAGUCCGUAGCCUAACCGCGAAGGGGGCGCGGCCGAAGGUGGGUUCGAUAAUUGGGGUGAAGUCGUAACAAGGUAAC
rnacentral:rRNA from 1 species